UUCUCUCUCCUGCCGCUCACGCCGCGCCCCACAGCGCCCGCUGCCGGGAGGGGGCGCAGCCCCUCCCGCAUCCCCCUGCUGCCGCACGCCGGCCGCCCUGUCGCAGGGAAUCACUCCGGCGUGGUCCUGAGCAUCAACUCCCGAGAGAUGCACAGCUACCUGGUGAGCUGAUGUCCCCCGAGGCCUGCGCCCCGGACACUCUCCUCUGCGCCGUCUCAUCCCCGGAGGGCACCGGUGCUGGGACCCGCGUCCCCUCAGAGGCCUGCGGAAGCGCCACCUCGUCCAGCGACAGAUGCCCCCUCUCCUCAGCUCACGCCCGCCCAGCCCGCGAGACGCACGGGGGCCUGACCCCCGACCCCCCUGGACACCAGGCGCACGGCGCCACCCGCCGCCCCCGGCCCGACCGGGCACUUCUCUGUCCCCGGGCCGCGCGUGGCUGCCCCCGCUGCGCCACAGCCCGUGGCCCCAGCCCAGGCCCGGCCGCCCUGGGGACGGGGAGGUGCGCCUGCCGGGGCCGCCGGUCACCCUGCACCGUGGGCCCCUGUCCCCGCACGGGGGGCCCCGGAGCCCCUCUUUCUUCUUCAAUACCCACGGGAGGGCGGCUCCUACCUGCAUGGCCUCCCUCGGCGGGGGCCGCCCUGCAGAGUCCAGAAAGUGGACUGUGACCCAGACCCCACCCCUGCCCCGGGCCCUCCCAACACAGCCCUCCGUGCCUCCCGCCGUCCGCCUCUUUUUAAACUGCAGAUAAUGUAAAUACCUCUUUAGGUAGCUGUUUGCGUUCUGGGGGUGGGGGGCUGUUCAACUUUCUACUCUGUGGUCAGGUAGUAGCCGUCUGGGUUGCUUUGUCAGAGCCCCCUUCUCGGGACCCUUCUUUUAGUGUCGGGGUUCCGGAGGGACAGGUGCUCUGACGGCUUUGCCCCCGGAGCCCGGGCCUGCACGUCUGCAGCCGGCCAGCAGGUGGCACCCUCCCCGGGCUCCCCGCCCACCCGCUGGGGUCUCCUCCUCCCCCUGGGGCACCGCCUGGAGAAGCACCAAGGGCCCGGCGCCUCCUUACAGUUGGGGGAACCCGGGUAGGAGCCGGGGACCAGAAGAGGCUUCGGAUGGAACCGGAAGGGCCGUCCAGGAGCGUGCCCCUCAUUUUGAAGUUGGAGAAAUUGAGGCCCAGAGAGGGGUGACUUUCCCACGGUCACACAGCAAGACAGUAGCAGAGGUGCCCCAGGGACUAGCCCUCUGCACCCCGGUGCACAGUGAGUCCACUCACUCACAGACGCCUAGAAUCAGGGACGCUAGCCUAAGUCUACACUUGUGAAUAUACAGGGGGGAGGUGUUCACCUUUUGCCUUGAACCCCGAAGUCAGUAGUCUCCUCCCUCCCCCCUUUCGCCCCCCUCCUCCUCUCCCCUCCCUCCCUCCUCCCCUCCUCUUCGUCCCCCCCCUCCCCCCACUUUCCCCUCCCAGGCAGGGCUCAGGGUCUCCCCCUAGGCGAUGGGGAACACCAGAGCUCAGGCUGGGAGCUCACUGGCUGCUGGUGAGUCCAGAAUGAAGCCUGGGGGGCAUUAACUCACUUCCCUUACAAAGGCCUGCAGGAGGGGAGACCCAGGGACAAACCCUCGCGCCCGCAACAGCCCCCAGCGCACAGGAGUCCCUCAGUGUUUGCGUGUCACAAAUAGGGACUCUGAGGCCGCGAGGAGGAAGGGGUCACUGUGUGUCACAUGCCAGGUGGUGGAGUCCCUCUCCCCGGGCCGCCACUCACCAGCUGGGGCUCCUGGGCCCCCUCCAGAGGUCACCCUGCAAGUUGUUCUUAAGACCCUCCUUGGGGAAGGGCUGGGGCCCAGAGACCGGGGGACGCAUCGCUGGGGAGGUCGGCGCGGGAUCCCCGGCUGGCACUCUCUGGACCUUUGCCACCCCCCAGCCUGUUUGCAGUCUUCAAAGACACCUUAGGGAGCCCUGUGUCCUGCCGUCCACCCCCACCCAGCCUGCCCCAUGAGCAUCACACAGGGUCAGAUACCUGUCGGCACCAUCCAGAGCCAAGGUCACGGUCAGCAUGAGUCCCCUGGACACAGUGCCCCUCCCCCACCCCCAGCUCACCAGUGCCUGCAGGUGACCACCCCUUUGACCUUCCUUGACCACUCAACUUCAUUCUCUCUGCUGUUUGGGUAGGGGUUUUUUUCCCCCCUUAGUUAUUGGUGUUUCUCUCGUAUUUUACGUUAUUGUUUCUAUUAAGAGUAUUUUGAGUGUGUGGACCCGAGAGCCUGGGAAUAAGGUGGCAUCUGAGAUAACCUUGUACUUCUCCAUCCCCGUGACCAUAUAGAUCAACAUGUAGGGCUAUGGAUCGUCUGGUUAUACAUCUGAGGUUCUACGAAUCUGCUGUACAGGCACCUGGGGGUAAGGUGUGGUCUGUGGUGGGCAGCUAACGCUCCAUUCGACCGGGCUAUGCCCACACUUGGUAUAUGCACAUAACAAAGAUGCGAAAAAUCCUUUCUUAUUUUUCCUUUUUAAAAAUCAAUAAAUCAUUUGUGAUGCUUUUAACAGAGAUUAAAUGAAUAUAACCAGC